UACGUAGGGUGCGAGCGUUAAUCGGAAUUACUGGGCGUAAAGCGUGCGCAGGCGGUUCGUUGUGUCGGCGGUGAAAGCCCCGGGCUCAACCUGGGAAUGGCCGUUGAAACUGGCGAACUGGAGUGUGGCAGAGGGGGGUGGAAUUCCGCGUGUAGCAGUGAAAUGCGUAGAGAUGCGGAGGAACACCAAUGGCGAAGGCAGCCCCCUGGGCUGACACUGACGCUCAGGCACGAAAGCGUGGGGAGCAAACAGG
rnacentral:rRNA from 1 species